rnacentral:rRNA from 1 species
UACGUAGGGUGCGAGCGUUGUCCGGAAUUAUUGGGCGUAAAGGGCUCGUAGGCGGUCUGUCGCGUCGGGAGUGAAAACUCAGGGCUUAACCCUGAGCCUGCUUCCGAUACGGGCAGACUAGAGGUAUGCAGGGGAGAACGGAAUUCCUGGUGUAGCGGUGGAAUGCGCAGAUAUCAGGAGGAACACCUGUGGCGAAAGCGGCGCACUGGACCACAACUGACGCUGAGGCGCGAAAGCUAGGGGAGCAAACAGG